UUACUUUUAAAAGCACAGCAGGAAAAUGGUUUCAUUUUGUGUACAGGACAGCAGAUGGUGUUCUAGAGGCAAAGGUGCUCUCUGCUGGAGCAGGUGAAAAAUAAUCUCACAAACUUGUAGGCUACAGUGUAAGAGGGUGUUUUAUGAAGACCAGUUCCUCAUUUCUGUCAAUCAAUAUUUAUCCAAACAAACAAAUGUUUACCUAACUGAUUUGUUGUGUUUUUUUCUGUAUGAAGGUAUUCCUCCUAUUGCACAAUUGGUAUUAUUCCUCUGUUGUAUGCCAAAGAUGUUGUCAUUGUUAAGCAUAAUGUGGCAUGUUAUGAUGCUAAAAUAUUGGCUAAAAUAUAUAUGUAUAUAUAAAGGGCACGGCAUGGCUGUACUUUGUCCCAUGUUUCUUUUCCAAACUCUCCAGUUGCGCUUUUGCAUUUAAUUUUAGCUAACCUAUAGGAUACAUAUCGUUGGGUAGCGAUUGAAAUAGCUACUUCAGUGAAAAAAGAUAUAGGGUAGAUAAAUAUCAUUAUGUAUGUAUUUUAUCAUUAUGUAUUUCAUUAUCUGUUGAAGAAAAAAUCCAUGGCAACUGACAAUUCUAUCUGUUUACAAUUCUAAGAUGUAACUUAUGUGUGGGCGGAAAUUUGGACCAUAUUUUAAUUACUAUAAAUUCCCAUUUCACAGCCAUCACAAUUGUAACAUAUUGCAUAUUGCAUAUUGCAUAUUGUCCUAGUGAUCCUGUUUUCUGCCCACAGUAAAAUAGUGUUAAUAUGUGUUGAGGUAGUGUAGUUUUAAAUUGAAAUUUCAGUUUGAGGAUGAAAAUGACUGAAAGAUUUUUGUUUUGUGCCAACAGAUGCAUUUUUGCAUUUAUUUUCCAAUUGUCAAGAUGCCUACGAAGUUAUUAAUAACAACAUAUAGUUACAUAUUUAUUUACAUAUUUUGAAGUACACAAACAUGUAUGCGGAAAAUGUCAAGUGCUUAACCUGAUGGUGAAACAACCACCAUGUCUUUUCUCUUAAAACUGAUAGUGUUUUUGACCACUUGAGGGCACUCUAGUCUAGUAUGAAUUUCACGGUGGUCAUGUAGUCAAUGCUCCUUUAGUCCAAAAAAAGAAGAAGAAGAGAAACAGGACAUAUUUGAUGAGGUCAUCUUUUAAGCAUGAGUCUCCUGAUAUCACAAGAUAUUUUUACAGCUAGACCACCUGCCAUUCAGACCCUCAGGCACUUUCUUCAUCUUGCCCUUUCUUGGUGACACUCUCUGUCCACUCUAAUGCAAUCAGACAUGCUGCUAUUGUGACAUUUCUGCUGGCUUUCUGGCUAUUAACACGAUUACGAACAUGUUUUGAGAUUAAGGACAUUUGUGAAAUUAUCUGGGUGGUAGUUUAGUAUCUUGCAGAUUUCUACUCUGUUGAAGUGUAAGAGUAGGCCUAUUUUCUCUGUAACAAAUAGUAGUCGGAACCUCUAAUAAGCUGAAUCUUCCAACUGACCUUCACGGUCCAUUGCUUUUGAAGUAGGAUUUUGUUAAGGGAGUGAAAGUGGAGUGCUUCUGAAACGUCUUUUGGUAAUUUAAUCACAGGCCAAAUUAUCUUAGUUUAAUCACAUGCUCAUUAUCUCUAGGACAUUCCUGCCUGUGAUAGUUUUUCACAUGUAUGCUGCAUUAUUCGUUUUUUGCAUGCUGUAACUGAAGGCCAUGUUUUGUGAACUUGUAAAUCGUUGAUACUAUUCCAGUCUUUGUGUAAUGCUGAUAUUAUUAUGCAUGUGUGUAUGGGAUCAUAUGAUAAAUUCUCAUCAACAUAGUGCUUUGUACACCUCAGUGAAUGGUACAUAUCAAGCAGGUCCAUUUUCAAAGUUGAAUCAUUUAUGUCAUUGUAGCUAUCUGUGGGUGGCUAACCUGCUUAAUAUUAAACUUCUGUUGUUUGA